rnacentral:rRNA from 1 species
UACGAAGGGUGCAAACGUUGCUCGGAAUUAUUGGGCGUAAAGCGCACGUAGGCGGCAUUGCAAGUCGGAUGUGAAAUCUUAUGGCUUAACCAUAAAAGUGCAUCCGAAACUGCAGUGCUUGAGUACUUAAGAGGAUCGCGGAAUUCCCGGUGUAGAGGUGAAAUUCGUAGAUAUCGGGAGGAACACCAGUGGCGAAGGCGGCGAUCUGGGAAGAUACUGACGCUGAGGUGCGAAAAGCGUGGGAGCAAACAGG